CGCGAGUAGCUGGGAAGCUGGGAUUACAGGCAUGAGCCACUGGACCAGGUCGAAAUCUACUUCUCUGGAUGAAAACUGAGGCACAUGGAAGUUGACCUUUAAACAACAUGGGUUUGAACUGCCUGGAUCUACUCACACAGGGAUUUUCUUCAGCCUCUGU